rnacentral:rRNA from 1 species
UACGUAGGGUGCGAGCGUUAAUCGGAAUUACUGGGCGUAAAGCGCACGUAGGCGGCUUUGUAAGUUAGAGGUGAAAGCCCGGGGCUCAACCCCGGAAUUGCCUUUAAGACUGCAUCGCUUGAAUCCGGGAGAGGUGAGUGGAAUUCCGAGUGUAGAGGUGAAAUUCGUAGAUAUUCGGAAGAACACCAGUGGCGAAGGCGGCUCACUGGACCGGUAUUGACGCUGAGGUGCGAAAGCGUGGGGAGCAAACAGG